rnacentral:rRNA from 1 species
CCCUUAGAUGUCCUGGGCCGCACGCGCGCUACACUGAGUGUCUGAGAUACGAGUCUGCCUGGUCCGGCAAGGUCUAGAUAAUCGCUAAAAGACACAUCAUGCUUGGGAUAGAUUAUUGCAAAUAUUAAUCUUGAACGAGGAAUUCCUAGUAAGCGCAAGUCAACAGCUUGCGUUGAUUACGUCCCUGCCCUUUGUACACACCGCCCGUCGCUACUACUGAUUGGAUGUUUAAGCGAGGUUCUCGAACUGCUAGCGACUUAGCUUCGGUGAGGUCGCAGUGUGGGAAGUGAACCUAGCUUUGGUGUCUAGAGGAAGUAAAAGUCGUAACA